rnacentral:rRNA from 1 species
GAUGAACGCUGGCGGCGUGCCUAACACAUGCAAGUCGAGCGAUCUUCUUCGGAAGAGAGCGGCGGACGGGUGAGUAACGCGUGGGUAACCUGCCCUGUACACACGGAUAACAUACCGAAAGGUAUGCUAAUACGAGAUAAUAUGCUUUUAUCGCAUGGUAGAAGUAUCAAAGCUUUUGCGGUACAGGAUGGACCCGCGUCUGAUUAGCUAGUUGGUAAGGUAACGGCUUACCAAGGCGACGAUCAGUAGCCGACCUGAGAGGGUGAUCGGCCACAUUGGAACUGAGACACGGUCCAAACUCCUACGGGAGGCAGCAGUGGGGAAUAUUGCACAAUGGGCGAAAGCCUGAUGCAGCAACGCCGCGUGAGCGAUGAAGGCCUUCGGGUCGUAAAGCUCUGUCCUCAAGGAAGAUAAUGACGGUACUUGAGGAGGAAG